rnacentral:rRNA from 1 species
GAUGAACGCUGGCGGCGUGCCUAAUACAUGCAAGUCGAGCGGACGGACGAUGCUCUUGCUUCUCUGAUGUUAGCGGCGGGCGUGUGAGUAACACGUGUAUAACCUACCUAUAAGACUGAUAUAACUUCGGGAAACCGGAUCUCAUACCGGAGGAUAUUGUGAACCUCGGGGGUCAAAGGUAAAAGUCGGUCUUGCUGUCACUUAUAGCUGGUUCCGCGCUGCAUUGUCUAGUUGGUACGGUAACGGCUUACCAAGGCUACGAUGCAUAGCCGAACUGAGAGGGUGAUCGGCCACACUGGAACUGAGACACGGUCCAGACUCCUACGGGAGGCAGCAGUAGGGAAUCUUCCGCAAUGGGCGAAAGCCUGACGGAGCAACGCCGCGUGAGUGAUGAAGGUCUUCGGAUCGUAAAGCUCUGUUAUUAGGGAAGAACAUAUGUGUAAGUAACUGUGCCCAUCUUGACGGUACCUAAUCAGAAAGCAACGGCUAACUACGUG